rnacentral:antisense_RNA from 1 species
CUUCACCGCCCCCAGGUACAGCGGCGUGGUCCUCCCCUGGCCGUAGGUGGCCAGCAGGGCCUGCGCCUC